UACGUAGGCAGCAAACGUUGUUCGGAUUCAUUGGGCGUAAAGGGUCCGUAGGCGGUCGGUUAAGUCGGAUGUGAAAUCUCGUGGCCUAACCACGAGCGGUCAUUCGAAACUAAUCGGCUAGAGGGCUGGAGAGGAGACUGGAAUUGUCGGUGUAGCGGUGAAAUGCGUAGAGAUCGACAAGAACACCGGUGGCGAAGGCGGGUCUCUGGACAGUUCCUGACGCUGAGGGACGAAAGCUAGGGGAGCAAACGGG
rnacentral:rRNA from 1 species